rnacentral:rRNA from 1 species
AACGAACGCUGGCGGCAUGCCUAACACAUGCAAGUCGAACGAGAUCUUCGGGUCUAGUGGCGCACGGGUGCGUAACGCGUGGGAAUCUGCCCUUUGGUUCGGAAUAACAGUUGGAAACGACUGCUAAUACCGGAUGAUGACGAAAGUCCAAAGAUUUAUCGCCAGAGGAUGAGCCCGCGUAGGAUUAGCUAGUUGGUGUGGUAAAGGCGCACCAAGGCGACGAUCCUUAGCUGGUCUGAGAGGAUGAUCAGCCACACUGGGACUGAGACACGGCCCAGACUCCUACGGGAGGCAGCAGUGGGGAAUAUUGGACAAUGGGCGAAAGCCUGAUCCAGCAAUGCCGCGUGAGUGAUGAAGGCCUUAGGGUUGUAAAGCUCUUUUACCCGGGAUGAUAAUGACAGUACCGGAAGAAUAAGGACCGGCUAACUACGUGCCAGCCGCCGCCGUAA